rnacentral:lncRNA from 1 species
GUUAAUACUUUAACCCAUAGAUAUCCUUAUCGUCACAUAGUUAGUCCAUAUAUGCGCUUUUCAAAGCGCAAUCCACCAAAACUAAUUAGCUAUUUCAUUAAUUGUACUAAAGUGCAUUACAAACAUUGUUUUCUUUUAAUGAGUACUUUCUUUCUUUACCUUUCUCUUUUCUUCCUUCUUUUUUAUUUUCUUCUCUUUUUUUUCUCUUCUCUUUCUCCCAUAUCUGAUUUCUUCCAUUACUGAUGUCUUUCUAUUUUCGUCAAAAAUCGCUCGACAAAACUCAUAAAUCCUACUAAUUUUACUAUCACAAACCCCACAGGUUCUUCUGACUGGAGAAGAUAAAAAUUAUGGGAGAAAUUUUUCGAUGGUGUUAAUUUGGUGAAGAUAGGAUAUGAUUAUCCAAAUUUUGAAGGUCUUGUUCCUUUAGAUCUGAAGCUCCAUAGUGAACAACACCUUCAAAAUCUGAAUAACCAUAUACUCCCUUCACCCAAUUAACGAAAGAGAAA